UCCAAAGACGCCACUUUACGCCAGAAAUACUCCUGGUGGGUUAGGGUUUUACUCAAGGAAAUGCUGCAGUAGAAAAUUACCAUUUCUCUGUGCUGUUUUCAGAUCCUUCAAAUUAUUGAUCUUCAUUAUGAAUAUCCAAGAAGAGUUUCCUCAGUGACUCCAAUGGGAAGACAUGGAUAUGAACUACGGAUGAAAAUUAGAUACAAACGUCAAUGCUUUGCUGUCCAGUGAAACCAGCCUUGUUUUAAAAAAAGAAGGAGAGAGAGAAAAGAAAAAAGAAGCUGUUUCUAGGCAAAGAGCAGAGGACGUGGGAAUAACAUCCUCCAUUCAGCUUCAUCCCCUCAAAAGCUCAUUUGUAGAACCGGGUGAAGAAGCCAGCAUGUUACAAGCAAGGAACUUUUGUUUUCAGAAUCCAAUUGACUCCAGAGCCCAGAGUCUCCCCUGUGAGUGGGUGUGGAACAGAGCUCCUAGAAGCAGUCAUCUGAGAAACAGUGAAAUUGGCCCCUAAGGAUCAUUAUGAGAGCUGAGAACCUGCAGUGACGACCAGAGGACUCUCAGAGCUCCCCCUGCUCUCUCUUCUUCCCCAAGUGACCCAGGAAAGCAAAAGCUGAAUUGUGGAGAACACUAGCUAAGGGAUAGAGUCAAAGAUCAGAAAUAAUUAAUUUUAAGUUUAAUCAUUCUUGAUAAAAAUUGUUCUAAGGGAUAACAUAGUUCCCUGCCUUCUGCAACUAUGCCAAACUCACUGUAAACUACUGAUGGUCCCUGACAGAUGAUGGUUUGGCUAACCAUUUUUCAACUUUAUGGUGGUGUAAAAGCAUUAUGUAUUUAGUAGAAGCCAUGCUUCAAAUUUUGAAUUUUGAUCUUUCCCUGGGCUAGCAGUAUGUGUCAAGAUCUUCUCUCAUGAUGCUGGGCAGUGGCAGUGAGCUGAAGCUCCUAGAAAGCCAUGCUAUCCAGAGGGGAAACAACUGAUCCACCUACCAUCAUUCAGUACCCAGACAACCAUUCUGUUUUCACUUUCAGUACAGUGUUCAAUAAAUUACAUGAGAUAUUUAGCAUUUUAUUAUAAAAUAGGAUGUGUUAGAUAAUUUUUAUCCAACAGCAGGCUAACCUAAGUGUUCUGAGCAUGUUUCAGGUAGGCUGAGCUAAAGCUGUGAUGUUCAGUAGGUUAAGUGAGUCAAAUGCACUUUGGGAGAAAACAAGAUGCGGAGGAGUAGGUGGACGUGGAAGACAUCUCUCUCCAUGGAUACAUCAGGAAUACACCUUCAGACACAAAAGUGCAUGCAGAACACCAGCCGAGAGUGCACAGGAGUACCUGACCAGUGGGAAAGAAUAUAUAGAACCUCAAAAAACUAGGUAGGACAAAGGAACUAGGGGGAAAACCAGGAGUGUUACUAGGACUGGACCUGCCCUUGGCGGAUUGGGGGACUGAAGCAGGGGUCUGAUCCCCACAUCAGAGCAACUUCUGAGUCAGAGGAGGAACAUUUAAGGCUGAGAGUGAAACAGCUGAUCUGUGGCAGCCUAAACGGAAUGAGACUCAGACUGUCCUUGCGGCAGCCAUACAUACCCCAGAUAGUGCAGUGGCUGGGAGCUGGAGUUUAGGGAUUGUAGAGCAAUCCCCAGGCAAGGGCUGCUGUUGACUGUGGAGAGAUGGAGCGAGGGGAUGUGAGGGAGGAGAUUAUGGUGGGAAAUGCCUGUGGAGGAAAGCUGGGCAGACAUGGAAGCAAGGCAAUACUGCUCAGUCACACAUAGCGGGUGGAGCCAUCAUCAUAGCCUCUCUCCCCCUACACGCCAGCACUGGAAGCUGAACAACAGAGAACCUGGCCCAUCAAAUGCCUGACGCACUCAUCUACAGAGUACGACCCCACCCAGGGUGCCCCUUUAAGUGCCUGAUGCCCCAACUACAGAGUAGGACCCCACCCAGGGUGCCCCUUUAACUGCCUGAUGCCCAACUACAGGGUAGGACCCCACCCAGGGUGCCCCUUUAAGUGACUGAUGCCCCAACUACAGAGUAGGACCCCACCCAGGGUGCCCCUUUAAGUGCCUGAUAUGCCAAUACAGACUAGGACCCCAGCCGGGGGCGGGGCGGGGGGCGCUUUAUGUGCCUGACGCGCCAAACGACAGAGAAGGACCCCAGGCAAGGGAGUCCUCUAAGUGCCUGAAUGGGUGGAGCUAUGGAGAAAGACUGACCAAAGAGGCCUUCUGAUCUCCAGCUGCAAGAGGCUCGGGAAAAAAGACCCUGAUUGGGCCAUAACUCCUGCGGGAGGCAGUCCGUGUCCCUGCCCACUUGGCGCCACCAGCGUCCCCGGAAGCCAAGCCGCUGCACCACCUUCACGCUCAGCUCUCACUGGGGCAGGGCGGCCACAGGCAAAAAAAGCCUUGCACCUAUGCACGCAGGGUCAUUUCGGUGGUGUUUGACUCUUUGCGACUCAGUAGACUGUGGCCUGCCAGGCUUCUCUGUCAGAGAGGAGGGGUUCUCCAGCAAGAAUACUGGAGUGUAUUGGCCAGUACUGGUCGCCAUUCCCUUCUAGAGCACUUUAUUUCCCACUGCCCUAGCCACCAACCCCCUGAGUACCUGGUGCUGCCAGAACCCCUGCGACCCCAGCAGCGGCACCACCUCCGCGCCUGGCCCUCACGGGGGCAGACCCAAGUCCUCCAGGGCAGCCUCAGGAGCAAACCCCAGUGGACGACUCACAUGCAGAGGUGGAAAUAAAACCACAAGUGAAACCCAGGGGCAGUGUAACUAAGAAGAAGACCCAAAACCUUCCCACCAGCUAUACAAGCUGCAGAUUAAAACCACAGGAUCAACUAGGCAGAUGCUGUGUCUGUGGAACAUAUAAAAGGUCACUGAAAGCUCCCACAAAAGAAAACGCACUAGUUCUGAUAGCUGUGGACAUUGGAGGCAAGAACACGCAGGAGGAGGACCAGAUUAGAAUCUGAGCUGCCCCCGCAGCAGGGCCAGAGAUCAGCGCAGUGUUGGAGGGCAUCCUAGGGAGGAGAGGUGGACUGUGACUCCCAGCGAGGAAAAGGGUUCUCACAGCAGUGACUCAAGAAAAACAUUUAUUAUUAUGUUUUGACUUGUUCUGUAGAUUCUUUUGGAUUUUUCGCUUUUGUUUUCUCCCCCCUCCCCAUUGUAGUUGUCGAUUUUAUUGGCACUGUGAAAUCUAAUUAAGUUUUUGAGCUUUUUUCCCCUUUUUUUUCUUAGUCACAUUUUUUCUUUUUAUUGUUGUUAUAAACCUCUGCCUCUAGGUUGGGCUUUUGCAGUUCUGGGGAGUUUUCCUUUUUUUUUCUUUCUCCCAUCUUUUUUUCUUUUCUCUUUUUUUAGAAUUUUAACUUUUAUUUUUUUAAAACCUAUUUUUUCUAUAUUUAUUCCUUUGUUUGCCUUUCCUACUGCUCUUUCCCCCUUGCAGUUAAUCUUUAAUAUAUAUAAAUCUUCUUCAUCUACCUCUACAUAACUUUGCAAAUCUAUUCUUUCUUUCCUUUCCUCUCAACAUAUUUGUUAGUUUUGUUUUCAUUGCUUUAUUCCCCACUUGGUACCUUGCCUUUGUUUUCCAGUUUGUGCUUUAGUUAGUUUUAUUCUUAACUGGUAAAUAUAAUUUUUUAUUUCCUUU